rnacentral:lncRNA from 1 species
AGGUAAUAUUUUGUUUGUUUUGAUUCAACUUGCUGUUUCUCUUCUCUUUCUGUUUGUUUUCCGAGAAAAAACAAUAACAAAGGAAUACUAGAGAAAAGAGAAUGUUGAAUUCAGCAUGGUUUAAUCCAAUAAACCCAUGUCUAGGGAUCUGAUAUGAGUGAAGAAUAUUUUCAUUUUUUCUUUUUGGAUUGGGUUUGUGAGAUUUCUCUUCAAAUUGGUCAAUUCUACAAUUUUUGAAACUUUAGUUAGUAGUAUCAAAAGCAAGAUUAUCAUUUGAUUUGCUUAAUUUCUUGGAAUAAUUUCAUAAUUUCAUAAGUUGUUAAUUGUGCUUCAACAAAUCGAGGGAAAGAGGCAGCAAUAGCUUUGACAUUUUUGUUGGUUAGAGAGAGAACAGUAAUUCUAUGACUGUCUGCUAGAGUAUUUUCUUUGCUGUUAUAUCAAUUUUAAUGUUAGGUUAGCUCACCAUUAUAAGUUUAAUUUUAAUUUGGAAAAAAAAUAAUUUUAUUUUUUUUUAAUUUUAUCCAAAGAUUAAGAAAACCCAUUUUUUAAUUUUCUUGAUUUUUCAUUUACGUUUAAAUUAAAAAUUAAAAAUAGACAAAUUGAGCAUUUCAAUGCACAGUGAAAUUCAGUGGUAAGCUGUCUCUGUCAUAUUGACCAUGGAAGGUCUCGUAGUGUUAUGCUAAAAUCUCUGCCCCUGCUUCAAUUUUUUUCCUGCAUUUAUCUAUAGAUUUUUUUGGAUAAUUGUAAUUAUUUGAAAUAAGAUGGACAUGGUGCACCCUCUUUCCACCAUCAAAUGAAAAUUUUAACUGAUUAUCCAAGACUCUCUCUCCAUUUUAUUGGUUGAUGAUUAUAAUAAUUAAUAAUUACUUGAUAAUUAUAAUAAUUAAUAAUUAAUUAAAGAGAGAAAAUAAUAAUUAAUAUAAAAAAAUACAUUUCAAUGAGAAGAUGGAGAAUAUUAGAUGGACACUU